rnacentral:piRNA from 1 species
GGAAAAAGCAAACGGUUUCAUCGAGGUGG